GUUCUGGACCAUCCAGUCCAGAUCGGUUCUUGGCGGCUCAGGAGGGAAACGGGAGAGCAGCCGACCUGAUCCACCAUGAGGAGGAAAACAUGGCCGCCUGCGCCCGGAGGAGGAAGACAGGAUUCUGCAGUCUGGAUUUUGUUUGUCUUCUGCUUCUUGACUCUUGGAGCAGAUGAGUUUAUUUCUGCUGCCUAAGAUCUGGAUCAUGAACAGAACCAGAAUCUGGAUCCAAGCAGCGGAGGUACUGGUUCUGGAUGUGUAGAAGGAAAAUAUUCCAGAGAACAUUCUAGAUUUGUCCUCAGAUUAAAUAAUUUAAUGGUGAUCUGCUGAUCUAGAACAUUUCAGAGAUCUGUUCUAGAUCUGAUCUAGACAAGAGCAAAUCUCAAUCUCGUAAUCUGUUGAUGACAAUGACAAUAAAUCUUAUCUUAUCUUAGAACUGAUCUGGAGUUUGUCCCCAGGGGGCGCUGCAGUCCCCAGACGAGCGAAGAAGCCAGAGUCUCAGGUUUUUCUAAAAUGUUCAAUUUAAUUCAGAUAAAAACAUUUCUAGAUCAGAUGACAGAAAACAUUUAAAUAGACGCUGGAUCAAAAACAUUCUCAGGAGUCGUCAGUGAAAUGAAACGGCGUCCAACGCCAGCAAAAAUACCACAGUCAUUUGGAAA